CUGAACAUUUUACUGUUUGAAACCCAGCGUUUGAUGCAGGAAAUAAAGAAAGAAUAAAGAAUAUUUAGAUCAAAUAAAAAUACAGCAAAAGAAACAAACAUGGUCAUUAUUAAGAUCAUCAGUAAAGGAAAUUUCUAGGAGCUUUCUGCAAAACCACAAAUUCAGUACUUUGAGUUUCCUGUUUCUUUAAGAGCCUCUUUUAGACUUUGUGAUCCAGGUCUGUGCACAGAAAAUCUCCGGUUAUUUGUUUUUAGCUGAUCCCUAAAGCACAGCUAGUCUUCCUGGAUUCCAGUUGUUAUAGUAAGAACAUGAUCCGGCAUUUCAAACAGCUGUGACAGAAGAAGCUAAAGCAGAGAAGGAGAGCCGACUGCAGGGGGAGACAGGAGACACAGUUUACCAGAGAAAAAGUACUGACGAGUGCAUGUGUCUGAAAAGUAAUGAAUCUGAGCUGCUUACCUCUGAUGGUCGAGGGCGCGGAGUUCAUCAUCUGUGAGGGCGCCGAGUGAGUAGAGCUAAGGCUGGAGGAGGAGGGGCUUGCCUGCAGCGAGAAAGUUGUUGGUAAG